rnacentral:Y_RNA from 1 species
CAUUGUUCUGAGUGCAGUGGUGUUUACAACUAAUUGAUCACAACCAGUUACAAAUUCCUUUGUUCCUUCUCCACUCCCACUGCUUCACUUGACCAGCCUUAA